rnacentral:sRNA from 1 species
UUAGGAAGUCCAAGCAAUUCAUCUUCCUUGUCA